ACGUAGGAGGCAAGCGUUAUCCGGAGUUACUGGGCGUAAAGGGCGUGCAGGCGGUUGGCUAAGUUCGUUGUGAAAGCGCCCAGGCUUAACCGGGCGAGGACGUGCGGAACUGCUGAACUAGAGGCAGGUAGAGGCAAGUGGAAUUCCGGGUGUAGUGGUGAAAUGCGUAGAGAUCCGGAGGAACCCCGGUGGCGAAGGCAGCCCCCUGGGAUGACACUGACGCUCAUGUACGAAAGCGUGGGUAGCAAACAG
rnacentral:rRNA from 1 species